rnacentral:sRNA from 1 species
GUCUUUGUCAAUCCUAAGAGUGGCGGGAAGCAGGGGCAGAGGGUGCUCUGGAAGUUCCAGUAUAUAUUAAACCCUCGACAGGUGUUCAACCUCCUAAAGGAUGGUCCUGAGAUAGGGCUCCGAUUAUUCAAGGAUGUUCCUGUUAGCCGGAUUUUGGUGUGUGGUGGAGACGGCACAGUAGGCUGGAUUCUAGAGACCAUUGGUCAGUGCAAGGAGGGGCGCUGGGAAGGGAUUGGGGUCGUAGUCUUGCAGAGCUAACUCACUCCAUCCUUCUCUUCACCUGCCUCCGCAGACAAAGCUAACUUGCCGGUUUUGCCUCCUGUUGCUGUGUUGCCCCUGGGUACUGGAAAUGAUCUGGCUCGAUGCCUAAGAUGGGGAGGAGGGUAUGAAGGACAGAAUCUGGCAAAGAUCCUCAAGGAUUUAGAGAUGAGUAAAGUGGUACAUAUGGAUCGAUGGUCUGUGGAGGUGAUACCUCAACAAACUGAAGAAAAAAGUGACCCAGUCCCCUUUCAGAUCAUCAAUAACUACUUCUCUAUUGGUGUGGAUGCCUCUAUUGCUCAUCGAUUCCACAUCAUGCGAGAGAAAUAUCCGGAGAAGUUCAACAGCAGAAUGAAGAACAAGCUAUGGUACUUCGAAUUUGCCACAUCUGAAUCCAUCUUCUCAACAUGCAAAAAGCUG